rnacentral:rRNA from 1 species
UACGAAGGGUGCAAGCGUUAAUCGGAAUUACUGGGCGUAAAGCGUGCGUAGGCGGUUUGUUAAGUCCGUUGUGAAAGCCCUGGGCUCAACCUGGGAAUUGCAGUGGAUACUGGCAAGCUAGAGUCAGGUAGAGGGUGGUGGAAUUCCCGGUGUAGCGGUGAAAUGCGUAGAGAUCGGGAGGAACAUCUGUGGCGAAGGCGGCCACCUGGACCAUGACUGACGCUGAGGCACGAAAGCGUGGGGGGAGCAAACAGG